rnacentral:rRNA from 1 species
UGAGGAAUAUUGGUCAAUGGACGCAAGUCUGAACCAGCCAAGUAGCGUGCAGGAUGACGGCCCUAUGGGUUGUAAACUGCUUUUAUAUGGGGAUAAAGUGGGGAACGUGUUCCCUUUUGCAGGUACCAUAUGAAUAAGGACCGGCUAAUUCCGUGCCGGCAGCCGCGGUAAUACGGAAGGUUCGGGCGUUAUCCGGAUUUAUUGGGCGUAAAGAGCGCGUAGGCGGUCGUGCAAGUCAAUCUUAAAAGUGCGGGGCUUAACCCCGUGAUGGGAUUGAAACUGUGCGACUGGAGUAUCGGAGAGGAAAGUAGAAUUCCUAGUGUAGCGGUGGAAUGCGUAGAGAUUAGGAAGAAUACCGGUGGCGAAGGCGACUUUCUGGACGAAAACUGACGCUCAGGUACGAAAGCGUGGGGAGCAAACAGG